rnacentral:rRNA from 1 species
GACGAACGCUGGCGGCGUGCUUAACACAUGCAAGUCGAACGGAAAGGCCCUGCUUUUGUGGGGUGCUCGAGUGGCGAACGGGUGAGUAACACGUGAGUAACCUGCCCUUGACUUUGGGAUAACUUCAGGCAACUGGGGCUAAUACCGGAUUGGAGCGCCUGCUGCUGGGGGGGGGUCGGAACGUUUCGGCGGUUGGGGAUGGACUCGGGGUUUAUCAGUUGGUGGGUGGGGGACUGGCUAACCAAGGCUUCGACGGGUGGCCGGCAUGAGAGGGGGAACGGGCACAUUGGUACUGAGGGACGGACCAGACUCGUACGGGAGGCAGCAGGGGGAAAUAUGGCACAAUGGGCGGAAGCCUGAUGCAGCAGCGCCGGGUGCGUGAUGAAGGCCUUCGGGUGGGAAAGCGCAUUCGCCUGUGACGAAGCGGGAGUGACGGUAAUGGGUAAAUAAGCACCGGCUAACUACGUG